AUCUACUGUCAUAAACAAAGGUAUUUUAAAGAGAUCUUCUAAAGUAAAAUAUUUUCACAAGUUGGUACUAAAAGAAACUAAAUGACCCAGUAUUAUUUGUUGCGUCAUAAUACACGAGUUAAUGCACAACUGUCGAAUUGGUCUGGCAGCAAAGGAUAUGCUUUUGAAAAUAUUUACAUAGCUGCUGCAGGGGGCUGUUAUGGAUUUAAACAACCCUCAGACAAGCUUUGAGUCUUAUGGGACAUCUAUUGGAGACAGAAGGAAAAUUGAGGGAUGGUUCUAAGGACGACCUCUUUCCUAGAACAAGAAAGAGAGGAAGAAAGUGACAGAAGUGGGUAUAUUGAAGAAGGAUCCUGACCAACUAAAAUAUCAGAUUCAGAAACUAGAAGUGAUGGGAUACAACGCUGCAUCGAUAUAUAUCUUAAAACAGCGCCGCGUGUCCCACCUUUUCUCAGGUAUGCUUAGCCAUCCCUCUGCUUUUGUGGUUAUUAUGGAUUCUCUCUUCACUCUAUUUUACCCUGUUUCAAAUCGUCCUCAGGUUAUUAGCUCAUUCAUAUUUAUUGGGAGAGAAUGAAUUGUGCUUCCGGGUAUUUGCUGCUGAAGAUGAUUAUGCUAACUCGCCAAUCUAAAGGUGCUUAAACAGUUUCAUCUAUGGCACAACAUAAAUUAUCAAUUGGAGUCGAGAUAUCCAUCAGUUCAACAACACAACCAUGAAGGUUUGGUUUCGACCAUAUAACCAUUAGUAAAUAUGGCCCUUCUAGAUUACAUCUCAUCAGACAAAUUGAAGUAUGUUUGGAUCUCGAUGACCACCUUGAUGACAUCAGCAAGUAAGAGUGUUAUAAUAUAAUCGGACUGAACUCUCUAAUAUCCCCAUUCUUUCUAAAAGUCACAUGCUUUUCUGCUUUUGCUCAUCUAUUGAUAGGGACCGGGUGAAUAUAAUGCUCUUCAAUUGAAGUUUCUGUGUGGAAUUGGCUAUUGUCAUGUUGGUGCCCUCUCAUGGGAGGUGAAAACAACUUCAGGAAAACUGAUUGUGGUUUGUGAUUCUGUUGGUGUUGCGACAACAUUUUAUAUGUGCUCGGAAGUUGAUGCAGCGCCGUUGAGAGAUGAGAUAGAUUUUUAAUUCUUGGGAAACAGAAUAGGAUUGCUUUAUCUUAUUCAAAAGCUAGAGCCCUAUUUUUGUAGACAUGAUCAAAUUAAUAAAACAAAUCAUGUUGUAUCCUCUUUUAUCUUCUA